rfam:Pseudomonas sp. VI4.1 NODE_41_length_58457_cov_19.5751, whole genome shotgun sequence.
UUUUAUGGUGGCCAUGCGCAGGGCUCCUUCAGGGGCGCCGGGUUCCUAAUGCGACCGGUCUACCAACCCGCGUAUGGCCGCCACCUUU